rnacentral:rRNA from 1 species
CCUACGGGAGGCAGCAGUAGGGAAUCUUUCACAAUGGGCGAAAGCCUGAUGGAGCAACGCCGCGUGCAGGAUGAAGGCCUUCGGGUUGUAAACUGCUUUUAUAAGCGAGAAAUAUGAUGGUAACUUAUGAAUAAGGAUCGGCUAACUACGUGCCAGCAGCCGCGGUCAUACGUAGGAUCCGAGCAUUAUCCGGAGUGACUGGGUGUAAAGAGUUGCGUAGGUGGCAUAAUAAGUAGCUAGUGAAAUCUGGUGGCUCAACCAUUCAGACUAUUAGCUAAACUGUUAAGCUCGAGACCGUUAGGGGUAACUGGAAUUUCUGGUGUAGGAGUGAAAUCCGUAGAUAUUAGAAGGAACACCAAUAGCGUAGGCAGGUUGCUGGGACGGUUCUGACACUAAGGCACGAAAGCGUAGGGAGCAAACGGGAUUAGAUACCCCAGUAGUC